rnacentral:lncRNA from 1 species
AGAUGCGAUGUGAAGGUUGCAGGUGACUCUCGAUGCCGCAAAGCACGCGACUUGGACAUCCUCCUCAUCUAUCCUGCUGCCAAAAAUUGCCAACGCUUCCUUCCAGGUGAGAUUAAUAGUCUCAUUUUUCUCCCAUUCGGUGUCGCAAGUCGUAUCUCAGUUCAAGCUAGGAUUGAUAUUGCAUUUUCAUUUUUUCCCAAUUGGUACAUGUGUUGUUCCUUUGAAGUCCUUCACGACAUCAAUCUAGCCAUCUGGCUUUGCCGAAUCCGAGCGCAGACGCAACAGCAACAUCUCCUAAUCUCUUUUCUCUUCCUCCCCACAUCAACGGCUCCACCCCGGCCGACUUUUUUUUCUUUAAUUUUUCCCACAACAGAAGCCACGAAAGGAAGGCCAGACAGACGCAAAAGCAGCAUCCACUCUCGUCGGCUUUCUCUGUAUGUAUCCUAUUGUUCCCCUUACUGCUGCAUCCUAAUAUAUCCGUACAAUCUUAAGUAUUAUGAUUCCAAUCACCAAAUAUUGCGCUGAUUUCGUAUAGACACUGUGUGUUUAUGAAGAGAUAUAUAUAUAUAUAUAUAUAUAUAUAUAUAUAUAUAUAUAUAUAUAUAUAUAUAUAUAUAUAUAUAUAUAUAUAUAUAUAUAUAUGUGUGUGUGUGUGUCAGUGUGUUACUCUGUUACCCAUAACUAUGGCCUUGUAUGGUUACCUAGAGAUUCUUAUAAUCAGAUAAAAUCUAUCCGUUAGAGAUCCAAACAUUUUGCUUUCCAUGUCUUGGUUAAUGUGUUGUGUGAAAGAAUCUCAAUUAUUAUCCUUACGUUGCAUUUUCUUGGGUAUUGUGCAAUGUCAUCUUAUUAUAC